rnacentral:rRNA from 1 species
GAUGAACGCUGGCGGAAUGCUUUACACAUGCAAGUCGAACGGCAGCACGGGGGCAACCCUGGUGGCGAGUGGCGAACGGGUGAGUAAUACAUCGGAACGUGCCCAGUCGUGGGGGAUAACGUAGCGAAAGCUACGCUAAUACCGCAUACGAACUCUGGUUGAAAGCGGGGGAUCGCAAGACCUCGCGCGAUUGGAGCGGCCGAUGGCAGAUUAGGUAGUUGGUGGGGUAAAGGCCUACCAAGCCGACGAUCUGUAGCUGGUCUGAGAGGACGACCAGCCACACUGGGACUGAGACACGGCCCAGACUCCUACGGGAGGCAGCAGUGGGGAAUUUUGGACAAUGGGCGCAAGCCUGAUCCAGCCAUUCCGCGUGCAGGAUGAAGGCCCUCGGGUUGUAAACUGCUUUUGUACGGAACGAAACGGCGACCGCUAAUACCGGUUGCUAAUGACGGUACCGUAAGAAUAAGCACCGGCUAACUACGUGCCAGCCGCCGCGGUAA